rnacentral:lncRNA from 1 species
CAGUCAGCUGCCCUCAUUUUAGGCUGGGUUGUAGACUAACGUGAUUUCCCAGUGUUCACGCAGCUCCCUGGAGAACAGGUUCUAGUGCUGUUCACAGCUCCCUCAGCUUUGCUGGUGCUGUAUUUAAGGCUGGAGCUGGAAGGCUGUGCUUGUGAAAUGGAAAGGAGAGAUCAGAAGAAAGGAAAGUGUGAGGACUGCUUCUGGUUGUCUCAAAAAGUAGAUGCUUGCAGGAAGGCGAAUGGCACAAAGACAUAGACGUUAAUGAGAAUUCUGUGAAAAUCAGAAGAGUUCGUGUAUCAAAGGAGGAACCAUUGUCAGAGAUGUGGCGGAAGUAAGAAAGAGCCAUCUUUUGGUGUGAUUGAUGAGGGCCGCUUAUGAGAAAAAGUGAACUGGAAUGCCAGGCAACCAUGGCUUGUGAUUUAUGCAUAUUCGGGAAGAACGCUGGAACAGCCCAAACACAGAAGUUGUCAUAAUAGAUGCACAGCUCUUCGAGGACGGCAAAACAUAAAUCUAAAAGAACCAGGGGGAAAAAAAAGUUCAGUUUUUUUAAAGCUGGCAUAAUUAUAACGGCGUUUCUGCCUGCGGUUUUACUAGAAAGCAGCAUCCACAGUCAUGGACUCAGAUGACUGACCUGUGACACAUCUCACGCGAUACACACACGUGAUACGCAAUGUAACGGUGGGCUGACCCAUACCGGGCGUACUUGCAGCGCUACUUUACAAAUCUCUGAGCCAGUCUGGGUGGAUGCAUGGCUGCUAAAUUGUUUAGAGUCUAAAUUCCAGUCCAUUUUUUUCUUUCUAUUUUUCUUUUUUAUUGUUUACAGCAUUGUCAAGUAGACAAUUUUCAACUGAAGCUUUCUCUACUGAAUAUUCAUUUUGUUAGGUCCUUUGAAUUAAAUCCAUGGAUCUACUUGCAUGGUUUUCAAUUACAGGAAAAAAUACCUUUUCUUUUAUGAUCUGCUAAGACCACCUCUGCUUUAGGGGCAGAGGAAUGCGUACCAUUAAGACUUGCAGAUGAAUGGAACCUUAGAAAAUCAAUUUAUUUAAGUUCUUGGCAAAUGCCUGUACUGUUGUAGUAUUCUAAGAUUCCUGUAGAUUUUCAUUCAGUGAUAUUUACUGCUGCCUACCUGCAUACAAAUACGGGAUUGUAGCAUAAUACUCAUUGAAAUUCUUCUGUGUUAACAAGCUUAUCAAUCAAAAUAAAAAUUAUUGGAUUUUGUAUGUUUUUCCUUACAGAAAAUUCAGUGACACAAAAUGUUCUUAUAAUUAAAAGCUCUUCAUUCUGUUAUUUAAUUUAG